rnacentral:lncRNA from 1 species
UUUCAUAAGAUAUUUUCUAGAGAGAUGUAGAGAGAGAAAGUGGGAGAAGAGAAGAACAAGGGUUAGAGAGAAGAGGGAGAGCUUGAAGAAUUAAGGAUUGGAGUGAACUUAGGAGCUAAAUUGAAGCCUAAGUUGGGAUUAAUCUUCAUCUAAGUUCAUGAUACGUUGUGCAGGACUAGAUGCUUGAUGAGUUUUUGUGCUUGGUGGAUAUCGGGAGCUUUCUCCGAUAUAGGUGUUGAGUCGGUUCUGAUCUAGGCUUGUUGUGUCGGUCUAGAUUAGGUUAUCUUUGGAUUUUGUUAUGUUGGAGAUUACCCGUUUGUUUGGGAUUUUUGAGAUGCAUCUAUGUUGAUGUAAUUUAUUGAUUCAUGACAUGUACAUAUUUUGAUUACUCUGGUUUAUAUUCCGCUGCAACUGUUGAUGUUUAUAUACAUGUUUAUUGAUUUUUGAAUUUUGAAUGUGGU